rnacentral:rRNA from 1 species
GAUGAACGCUGGCGGCGUGCCUAAUACAUGCAAGUCGAGCGAACAGAUGAGGAGCUUGCUCCUCUGACGUUAGCGGCGGACGGGUGAGUAACACGUGGAUAACCUACCUAUAAGACUGGGAUAACUUCGGGAAACCGGAGCUAAUACCGGAUAAUAUAUUGAACCGCAUGGUUCAAUAGUGAAAGACGGUUUUGCUGUCACUUAUAGAUGGAUCCGCUCCGCAUUAGCUAGUUGGUAAGGUAACGGCUUACCAAGGCAACGAUGCGUAGCCGACCUGAGAGGGUGGUCGGCCACACGGGAACGGAGACACGGUCCAGACUCCUACGGGAGGCAGCAGUAGGGAUUCUUCCGCAAUGGGCGAAAGCCUGACGGAGCAACGCCGCGUGAGUGAUGAAGGUCUUCGGAUCGUAAAACUCUGUUAUUAGGGAAGAACAAAUGUGUAAGUAACUAUGCACGUCUUGACGGUACCUAAUCAGAAAGCCACGGCUAACUACGUG